UACGGAAGGCAGCAGUGGGGAAUAUUGGACAAUGGGCGAAAGCCUGAUCCAGCCAUGCCGCAUGAGUGAAGAAGGCCUUCGGGUUGUAAAGCUCUUUUAGUGAGAAAGAUAAUGACGGUACUCACAGAAGAAGUCCUGGCUAACUCCGUGCCAGCAGCCGCGGUAAUACGGAGAGGGCUAGCGUUAUUCGGAAUUAUUGGGCGUAAAGAGCGCGUAGGCUGAUUAGUAAGUUAAAAGUGAAAUCCCAAAGCUUAACUUUGGAAUUGCUUUUUAAAAACUGCUAGUCUAGAGAUUGAAAGAGGAUAGAGGAAUUCCUAGUGUAGAGGUGAAAUUCGUAAAUAUUAGGAGGAACACCAGUGGCGAAAGGCGUCUAUCUGGUUCAAAUCUGACGCUGAGGCGCGAAGGCGUGGGGAGCAAAACAGGGAUUAGAUACC
rnacentral:rRNA from 1 species